GAUCCCGUAGCUCAGUCGGUAGAGCACCUGACUUUUAAUCAGGUUGUCGCGUGUUCGAUUCACGCCGGGAUCA
rnacentral:tRNA from 1 species